UCCCUGGUGGCUCAGAGGUUAAAGCGUCUGCCUGCAAUGCAGGAGACCUGGGUACGAUCCCUGGGUCGGGAA
rfam:Ovis aries breed Texel chromosome 1, whole genome shotgun sequence.